rnacentral:rRNA from 1 species
UACAGAGGUCUCAAGCGUUGUUCGGAUUCAUUGGGCGUAAAGGGCGUGUAGGCGGCUUUGUGUGUCCCAUGUGAAAGCCCUCGGCUCAACCGGGGAACUGCAUGGGAAACUGCGGAGCUUGAGUCCGGGAGAGGAUAGUGGAAUUCCCAGUGUAGCGGUGAAAUGCGUAGAUAUUGGGAGGAACACCGGUGGCGAAGGCGGCUAUCUGGACCGGUACUGACGCUGAGACGCGAAAGCCAGGGGAGCAAACGGG